ACGCUCAACCGCUGGGCCCCCAGGUAACCCUAACCCUGAAUUUUUUAAAAGAAAAAAAUCAUUUUCCUUCUUUUCACAUUUUUAAUGACCUCUAUCCUUUAGUGAGUGAGAAAUGAACCAGAGUCAGCCGGGUCUUCAGAGCUUAGGGGGCUCAGGAAGGCCCCCCUUUCUCCUGCUCGCGCAUACCGGGUCGGGGCUGACUCCUAGGCGGGACUGAUAACAGGCCGGGGGGGGGGGGGGGGGGGGCGAGGGGCCUAACCUGGAGCCCCGCCCACCCGCAGUGGCUGCCUCCCGCGCCCAGCCGCCCAGGGAUCCCCCCUACUUCGCCUACUGGGCACAAGGCAAAAAACCUACCUACCGACAUGUACAGGAUUUUUAUUGGCCUACAGCUCCAACCCCUGGUGAGGAAAUUUUCCAGUUUCCAAGGGUUGAGGCUGGCCUCCUUUCUGACAGGUGUCCACAGCAGAAUCAACCUGUUGGGGGUCAUUUAGGUAAACUUCAGGGGUAAGAAGAGGAAGAAUGAGUUCCCAGAAUCAGAGAAAUGUAGGCGAUCAGAUUUCACUGUACUGAUCUUGGUGGUCUCUUCCAUCAGAUUGAAUAAGAUUGUUUCUGUUUGAAAUUCUUGCAGUUCCCGGAACACCUGGGUGGCUCAGCGGUUGAGUGUCUGCCUUCAGCCCAGGUCGUGGUCCCAGGGUCCUGGGAUCAAGUCCCACGUCGGGCUCCCUGCAUGGAGCCUGCUUCUCCCUCUGCCUGUGUCUCUGCCUCUCUCUGUCUCUGUGUCUCUCAUGAAUAAAUAAAUAAAAUCUUAAAAAAAAAUUCUUGCAGUUCAC
rnacentral:lncRNA from 1 species